AAAAGACGGUAGGACGACCUCAAGUAGAUGGGCAAUACGAGGCUUGGAUGUUGGUCCAACAUACACCUAGAAAAUUUCCUCAAUGGCCUAAGAGAGGUACGACAAAGCAAAUAGCAAGCCCGGUGGUGGCCAUGUGCAUCCUGGUCAACAGCACAGGGCCACCAAAAAAAAGAUGGCCCAUUUUCAAAGCCCUAACAUACAUUUUUUUUUUUAAAAAUAAAAAAAAAUUAAAUGAAUGCCCUGCUAUUCUGCGAAUUCAUCAGUUCAACUCCCCACGCUUUCCUUUCUAGAGAAUUCAACGCUCCAUUAUCUCCCCUGAAUUACUCCUUGUUUCCAAUAUUAUCCCAAAUUCCCAAUUCCAAUAAUCUUAUUUUCAAUCCUUCCAUACUCUAAUCAUCAAUUUCGAUUUAUCACUCUUAAAUUUGAAUGGAAGAAUCGAAAAAUUCAUCUGGAUUUUCAUUUGAUAAUUUGGAUAAUUGGAUCCUCUAUUUGAUUAGAAUUGAAAAGGGGUGAGAUUUGGGGAUUUGUUGGAGAUGAAGAACCAAAAUCGCAGAGGCACAACUAAAGAUUAGGAGCGCUAAAGAUGAGGAGCAGAUAUUGAUUUUUCAUCCGGAAAUUAUUGUUCAAUCGGCUAAAAAUCACCAUGUUGCAUUGGUCCGUCUUUUACUUUCAAGUACAUUUUAUUACUGAGUAUUAUGUUUUUUUUUUUUUUGGAGGGAAGAGUAUUAUGUAUUUUAUUGUUCGUUAAAUAGUUUUUAGAAUAUUAACUUAGUUUCUUGUAAUAUGGCUUCUAAACGAAAGCAUAAAGAAGUGGAUUUCAAUAUUUCUCAA